CAAAGGGCUGCUGCAACCUUAGAAAUGAGGCCCUGUUGGCUUGUCCAGGAUCCAGGGACCACUGAGAACAUUGGUCCCAAUCAUAGGAGUUGAAAAUGGAAAAUCUUUGAAGCACAGAGCUGCGGAAGAGGGGCCAAGACCCUUUCAGAGACUCCAUUUCCAUAAAUGAAUGAAUAAAAAACACUAUUAUGCACUCACUGUGCUAAAUGCUGGUGAUAUAAGCAGAAAAAGUGAGCUAGUUCCUGCUCUCAAGGAGCUUACAUUCUAAUUGGGGAAGACAACACAUAUAAAGGAUGUCAGGAACAAAAUGGAUGGAAAAGCCUGAAAGUCCUAAGGGGGAAAAGCUGGGGUGAUGUCUACGUUGAGGGGAGAAGACAGAAAGAAAGGGGUGCCUUGGAGUCUGAUGUGGUUAAGGAUCCUGGCAUUCAGA